CCUACGGGAGACAGCAGUAGGGAAUCUUUCACAAUGGGCGAAAGCCUGAUGGAGCAACGCCGCGUGCAGGAUGAAGGCCUUCGGGUUGUAAACUGCUUUUAUAAGCGAGAAAUAUGAUGGUAACUUAUGAAUAAGGAUCGGCUAACUACGUGCCAGCAGCCGCGGUCAUACGUAGGAUCCGAGCAUUAUCCGGAGUGACUGGGUGUAAAGAGUUGCGUAGGUGGCAUAAUAAGUAGCUAGUGAAAUCUGGUGGCUCAACCAUUCAGACUAUUAGCUAAACUGUUAAGCUCGAGACCGUUAGGGGUAACUGGAAUUACUAGUGUAGGAGUGAAAUCCGUAGAUAUUAGAAGGAACACCAAUAGCGUAGGCAGGUUGCUGGGACGGUUCUGACACUAAGGCACGAAAGCGUAGGGAGCAAACGGGAUUAGAUACCCCAGUAGUG
rnacentral:rRNA from 1 species